rnacentral:lncRNA from 1 species
ACCAUUCGUCCGGAGACAGUACUGUCGAAUAUAUUUUCUUUCAAAUGAUGAUCUUAUGGAAAACAUGAAAGUCCACUUAUUUUAUGAUAGAGAUUAGAGAAGUUAACUUAACGUAAGAUUAAAGCCCAGGGUGCGUGUGUGAGAGAGAGGUAUGGUUACGGUUAAUUUACUUUGAUUCUUGUUGGUACAUUAUAUCAUUUCUACAGAGUUUAGAGAGCGAUCCAAAUAUGUGUUAAUAAUCUCACAAUUUUAAAUUAAAAAAAUAAAUAAAUAAAGUCGUUCUAACAUAUAACUACAAAAUUUAAUAAUUUGUUUUAAGACAUAUAUAAAGGCCACAAAAUUUCAUAAAAAAAUUAAAAAUAUAUAACAUUACUUUGAGUUUAAAAUGGCAACAGCGAUUCAACAUUAUCUUUAUCUUUGAUAGUUUAGUUAAAUACGUUACCACGCAAGGUUAUGAUAUCGCGAUGUAUUAUUAGUCAACAUUAGAGAAAAUGUUAUAAACUAUGCAGAAAAUAUCAAAGCACAAUGCAUAGACUUUUCUUAGAUCUUUUGUCGUCAAGUUCUUAUUAAUUAUAGCAAUACAUUGUCAACAAAA